rnacentral:rRNA from 1 species
GAUGAACGCUGGCGGCGUGCCUAAUACAUGCAAGUCGAACGAAACUUCUUUAUCACCGAGUGCUUGCACUCACCGAUAAAGAGUUGAGUGGCGAACGGGUGAGUAACACGUGGGCAACCUGCCCAAAAGAGGGGGAUAACACUUGGAAACAGGUGCUAAUACCGCAUAACCAUAGUUACCGCAUGGUAACUAUGUAAAAGGUGGCUAUACUACCGCUUUUGGAUGGGCCCGCGGCGCAUUAGCUAGUUGGUAGGGUAAAGGCUUACCAAGGCAAUGAUGCGUAGCCGAAUUGAGAGGUUGAUCGGCCACAUUGGGACUGAGACACGGCCCAAACUCCUACGGGAGGCAGCAGUAGGGGAUCUUCCACAAUGGGCGAAAGCCUGAUGGAGCAACGCCGCGUGGGUGAAGAAGGUCUUCGGAUCGUAAAACCCUGUUGUUAGAGAAGAAAGUGCGUGAGAGUAACUGUUCACGUUUCGACGGUAUCUAACCAGAAAGCCACGGCUAACUACGUG